rnacentral:rRNA from 1 species
UGGGGAAUAUUGCACAAUGGGGGAAACCCUGAUGCAGCGACGCCGCGUGAGUGAAGAAGUAUUUCGGUAUGUAAAGCUCUAUCAGCAGGGAAGAGAAUGACGGUACCUGAGUAAGAAGCCCCGGCUAACUACGUCGCC